UUUGCGUCUUCUCUUCAAUUCUGCUUCUGUGCUUCGGAGAUACGUCGAAUCAAAACCGUGGAUUGAAAGAGAGGGAUGCAAGCUAAGGCGGAGGACUCUUGAUUUUGUGGUGCAACAAUGAAUUGAUCCUUAUUCCCUCAAUUUGUUGAAGGGGUCCCCUAUGAAUUUGGACACCAGAUUCUCAUUGGAUUUUUUGAACUCCAAGCUUGACAAUUGAUAUGAGGAUGUAUGUGAAAGGUAUAUAUAUUCAAAUGAAGGAUAUAUGUGAAAGCUUUGUCUACUCCAGAGAAGUCUGCAGAAAGAAAGCGAUGAGCUGUAACAACUACAGAGCUACUCCCUUCUGAAAAUGUUUUAAGAGCUAAGUUCAAGGCCAUAAUACAUAUAUUUACAUAGUAUGAUAUAUGGUUGAUGAUAAUGAUAACACAGUUACAUGAUCGUUGUGAAUAUACACCAGGAUUAUCAAUUGGUGCAUCACUUGGGAAAGACUCGCUUGAAUGAGUGAGUGAAUACAAGCUUUAGUGUGUGCACAGUAUAUGGCAUGCGUGGAGAAUGAGAACAUCCCUUUGUUAGUUAGGGAUAGCAAUGAAAACCUAACUUGAUGUCCUAUUAAUCUAUUAUGUACUAAAUAGUAGUACUCGGUAUGAAGUAGUUCUGGAUAGGUUUGGAGUAAUGUGAUCUCACUUAUCAUAAAGCCUUCAUUCAUAUAAAAACUUAAAGACAAUUAUUGUCUAGAUAUAUAUUCACAUAUAUGUAUUGAAAAAUAUAUACUAAUCUUGAAU